CCCCUCUGGUGCGUCGCCUGAGGAGCACCUCGCGUGAGUGAGACGCCUUCGGGUCGUAAAGCUCUGCUGUAUCGGUGAGAAUGACGGUACCUUAAGAGGAAGCCCCGGCUAACUACGUGCCAGCAGCCGCGGUAAUACUACGUGCCAGCAGCCGCGGUAAUCAUA
rnacentral:rRNA from 1 species